rnacentral:piRNA from 1 species
ACUUAGUCUGCCCUGUUGCUAUUU